AUUGAACGCUGGCGGCAGGCCUAACACAUGCAAGUCGAACGGGUCCUUCGGGACUAGUGGCGGACGGGUGAGUAACGCGUGGGAACGUGCCCCUUGGUACGGAAUAGCCCCGGGAAACUGGGAGUAAUACCGUAUGUGGUCGAGAGACGAAAGAUUUAUCGCCAAGGGAUCGGCCCGCGUUGGAUUAGGUAGUUGGUGGGGUAAUGGCCUACCAAGCCGACGAUCCAUAGCUGGUUUGAGAGGAUGAUCAGCCACACUGGGACUGAGACACGGCCCAGACUCCUACGGGAGGCAGCAGUGGGGAAUCUUAGACAAUGGGGGAAACCCUGAUCUAGCCAUGCCGCGUGAUCGAUGAAGGCCUUAGGGUUGUAAAGAUCUUUCAGGUGGGAAGAUAAUGACUGUACCACCAGAAGAAGCCCCGGCUAACUCCGUGCCAGCCGCCGCGGUAAAAC
rnacentral:rRNA from 1 species